UUAUAUGGUCAAGAAGAGAAGCGCAAACGGUGGAUGCCUUGGCAGUAAGAGGCGAAGAAGGACGUGGAAUCCUGCGAAAAGCUAUGGGGAGCUGGAAACGAGCGUUGAGCCAUAGAUGUCCGAAUGGGGGAACCCGGCUGCAGCGAUGCGGUCAUUUGCAUUUGAAUACAUAGGAUGCAAAGGCGAACUCGGGGAACUGAAACAUCUAAGUACCCGAAGGAAAAGAAAUCAAGAGAGAUUCUCCAAGUAGCGGCGAGCGAACGGGGAGGAGCCUGGCGUGAUUUAUUAUUGAACUGAGUAGAACAAUUUGGGAAAGUUGGCGAUAGAGGGUGAAAGCCCCGUAUACGAAGGUUUGAUGAGGAACUAGGCACGCGAACAAGUAGGCCGGGACACGUGAAAUCCUGGUUGAAGAUGGGUGGACCAUCAUCCAAGGCUAAAUACUACUUACUGACCGAUAGUGAACCAGUACCGUGAGGGAAAGGUGAAAAGAACCCCGGAGAGGGGAGUGAAAUAGAAUCUGAAACCGUUUGCGUACAAGCAGUGGGAGCAUGGUUUAGGCUGUGUGACUGCGUACCUUUUGUAUAAUGGGUCAGCGAGUUACUUUCAGUGGCGAGGUUAACUGCAUAAGGGAGCCGUAGAGAAAUCGAGUCUGAAUAGGGCGAUAGUCGCUGGGAGUAGACCCGAAACCGGGCGAUCUAGCCAUGUGCAGGAUGAAGGUUGGGUAACACCAACUGGAGGUCCGAACCGGGUAAUGUUGAAAAAUUAUCGGAUGACGUGUGGCUAGGAGUGAAAGGCUAAUCAAGCCCGGAGAUAGCUGGUUCUCCCCGAAAGCUAUUUAGGUAGCGCCUCGUGAAUGAUUACUGGGGGUAGAGCACUGUUUCGGCUAGGGGGCUGUCAUGGCUUACCAAACCGAUGCAAACUCCGAAUACCGGCUAAUUGAAUCACGGGAGACACACGGCGGGUGCUAACGUCCGUCGUGGAGAGGGAAACAACCCAGACCGCCAGCUAAGGUCCCCAAGUACUAGUUAAGUGGGAAACGAUGUGGGAAGGCAUAGACAGCCAGGAGGUUGGCUUAGAAGCAGCCACCCUUUAAAGAAAGCGUAAUAGCUCACUGGUCGAGUCGGCCUGCGCGGAAGAUGUAACGGGGCUAAAACUAGUCACCGAAGCUGCGGAUGUGCGCGAAGGCGCACGUGGUAGGGGAGCGUUCUGUAGGCUGAUGAAGGUGCAUUGAGAAGUGUGCUGGAGGUAUCAGAAGUGCGAAUGCUGACAUGAGUAACGAUAAUGUGGGUGAAAAGCCCACACGCCGGAAGUCCCAGGUUUCCUGCACGACGUUAAUCGGAGCAGGGUGAGUCGGCCCCUAAGGCGAGGCUGAAGAGCGUAGUCGAUGGGAACCAGGUUAAUAUUCCUGGACUUUUUAUAAGUGGUGAAGUGGGGACGAAGAAGGCUAGGUGAGCCAGGCGUUGGUUGUCC
rnacentral:rRNA from 1 species